rnacentral:lncRNA from 1 species
GGAUCCAAAGUGGGACGAUUCGCGACAACAUUCUCUGUGGAAAACCAAUGGAUACAACCAAAUAUGAGAAAGCCAUAAAAGCAUGUGCCUUAGAUAAGGAUAUAAACAGUUUUGACCAUGGUGAUGAAACAGAAAUCGGUCAGAGAGGGCUUAAUAUGAGUGGAGGACAGAAACAGAGGAUUCAACUUGCUCGGGCUCUCUAUAAUGAUGCCGAAAUCUACCUCCUGGAUGACCCUUUUAGUGCAGUAGAUGCACAUACAGCUGCAAUUCUUUUCAAUGUAAGACUAAAUAUACUAAACUGCACGUGCACAUGCAUACCGAAACUUUGACUGAAUAUGCCAUUGCAGGACUGUGUCAUGGCUGCUCUACGGCACAAAACUGUCAUGCUAGUGACUCAUCAAGUGGAGUUUCUUUCUCAAGUUGAAAAAAUCCUGGUGACAAGGCUUAGUUUGAAAUUUGAUGAAUAUUUUCUCAUGUAUCCAGUUUCCAAUUAUGUCAACAAAUUAUUUUCUUUUUGCAUUUCUAGGUUCUGGAAGGUGGACGAAUAACUCAAUCAGGAAGCUAUGAGGAGCUCUUGACAACUGGGACAGCAUUUGAACAGCUUGUAAAUGCUCAUAAGAAUGCAAUAACAGUAUUGGAUCUUUCAAAUAAUGAAGGAGAAGAAACUCAAAAAUUGGAUCAUAUUCUACCAGAGGUGUCUCAUGGAUCUUGCCCCACUAAAGAAAGGAGCGAAGGGGAGAUUUCCAUGAAGGGUCUACGUGGAGGGCAGCUCACUGAAGAAGAAGGAAUGGAGAUUGGCGAUGUUGGGUGGAAGGCAUUCUGGGAUUAUCUCCUUGUCUCAAAGGGAGCACUACUGAUGUUCUCAGGCAUGAUAGCUCAGUGUGGUUUUGUUGCCCUUCAGGCUGCUUCAACCUAUUGGCUAGCACUAGGCAUUGAAAUUCCCAAGAUCAGCAAUGGCAUGCUAAUUGGAGUUUAUGCUGGAAUUUCAACCCUAAGUGCCGUCUUUGUAUACCUGAGGUCUUUCCUUAUAGCUCGUCUAGGAUUAAAAGCUUCUAAGGCCUUCUUUGCAGGUUUUACCAGUUCAAUUUUCAAUGCUCCAAUGCACUUCUUUGACUCUACUCCAGUUGGGCGAAUCUUGACUCGAGUAAGAUCAUCUUCUUUCUUUCUGGAAAAUGUUAGAAAACCAUGCUUUUCUAUUAGUGCCCCCUUAAAUGCAUUAUAUCAUCAGCUCUAGUUACUCCUCAAGAACGUUUGAUUUAUAUUCCUAUCUUGCAGGCUUCCUCAGAUUUGACUGUUUUGGAUUCAAAUAUACCCUUCUCCAUUAUCUUUGUACUGUCAGCUGGUAUUGAUAUUCUAACAACCAUUGGAAUUAUGGCCUCAGUCACAUGGCCAGUUCUCAUUGUUGCCAUUUUUGCUAUGGUAGCUGCAAAAUAUGUUCAGGUAGAUAAUGAUUUCUUACUUUACAUUCCUUGGUCUCUCUUCUUCUUCUUCACUAAUACAAAGCAAAAGUCCGAUUACAUUGUUUUCCUUUUGACUAAAAGGGGUAUUAUUUAGCCUCUGCAAGGGAGCUAAUAAGGAUCAAUGGUACAACAAAAGCUCCUGUAAUGAAUUAUGCAGCCGAGUCAUCCCUUGGAGUGGUCACUAUAAGAGCUUUUAACAUGGUGGACAGAUUCUUCCAAAACUACCUAAAGCUCAUAGACACGGAUGCAAAGCUAUUUUUCUAUUCUAAUGCAGCUAUGGAAUGGCUAGUUUUAAGAAUAGAAGCACUUCAGAAUCUAACUCUUGUCACUGCUGCUCUUCUUCUUGUUCUACUUCCCAAGGGUUAUGUUGCCCCAGGUAUAUGCAGUUGCUUACAACAGUCCUUUCCUUUGUGCUUUUGGAUUUUCAGUGUUAAAUGGUUGCCUUUUUCUUUCUUUUUCUUUUUUUACAGGGCUUGUGGGGCUAUCUCUUUCUUAUGCUCUGGCACUGACAGGCACCCAAGUGAUGCUGUCUCGAUGGUAUUGUAACUUGUCGAAUUAUAUGGUUUCAGUUGAACGGAUCAAACAGUUCAUGCACAUACCAUCUGAGCCUCCUGCAAUUGUGGAUGGAAAGCGACCACCAUCUUCAUGGCCUUCCAAGGGUAGGAUAGAGUUACAAAAUCUCAAGGUAAGGAAGCUAUUAAUCAAGUUCAUCUCUUAAAUGAUGUGUCUCAUAGCAACCUCUUGAAAGAAUGCUCUGGUGACAAUACUUAAAAGCCGACGAUUCUGUCUUCUGGUUGGUUUCAGAUAAAAUACCGCCCAAAUUCUCCACUGGUUCUGAAGGGUAUCACUUGCAUAUUCAAAGAAGGGACUAGAGUAGGGGUCGUUGGAAGGACUGGAAGCGGCAAAACUACACUGAUAAGUGCUCUAUUCCGACUAGUAGAGCCUGAAAGCGGGACAAUCCUGGUAGAUGGACUUGACAUUUGUUCUAUAGGUCUGAAGGAUUUGAGAAUGAAGCUCAGCAUCAUCCCUCAAGAGCCAACUCUUUUCAAGGGUAGCAUUCGAACUAACUUGGAUCCUCUAGGCCUCUACUCUGAGAAUGAAAUAUGGAAGGUGAGCCCUCUCCUUUCCAGUCAUGAUCUCAGUUUCUGAUUUAAGCCAAUGACGAUAAAUUAAUCACAUUAUCUUAUUUGGUUCUUUGUUGCAGGCUCUAGAGAAGUGCCAGCUUAAGGCCACAAUCAGCAGUCUUCCAAACUUGCUAGACUCAUCUGGUGAGUUCAAUUCAGUAAAAAAAAUACCUCAAAAAACUAAAGAUUGACAAUCCCUCAUACUUUAUACUAUCUUUUAAAGUUUGUGCUUGGAUCAAACAGUGAGCGAUGAAGGUGAGAACUGGAGUGCUGGGCAACGCCAGCUCUUCUGCCUUGGACGAGUUCUACUCAAGAGAAACAGAAUCCUUGUUCUAGAUGAAGCCACUGCAUCCAUAGACUCUGCCACUGAUGCAAUUCUGCAGAGAAUUAUCAGGCAGGAAUUCUCAAACUGUACAGUGAUUACAGUAGCUCACAGAGUUCCAACAGUCAUGGACAGUGACAUGGUCAUGGUCCUCUCUUAUGGUAUGAAAUUAUUCCACUCCGCAGAUUUGGGGUACUGGGUUUUGUUGAUAUUGAGCCAGCUUUCAUAAACACUGGUUGGUUUGAUUUUGUAGGGAAGCUUGUGGAGUAUGAUAAGCCUUCAAAUCUUAUGGACACCAACUCCUCUUUUUCAAAGCUUGUAGGUGAGUACUGGUCCAGCAGUAGGAGGAACUCCUAAUUGAGACCUGAAAUUGAAACUAUUUUUUCAAUGAUCUUUUGUUUUCUUCAACAAACAUGAACUGUUUGUUAUAUCAAGCCUAAUGACUAGUGAAUAGAAUUGUUUCUAACAUGAAUGGUUAACAAUUUUUUUUUCUUUUCUUGAUGCUUUCCCAAAACCAAACAUAUCAUUCAACUAAAAUCACUUCCAAACACACCCUAAAAAUAAUCCCAACUGCUGUACACCCACAUGGUAAAUUAAUCAUUCCGAAGAGGCCAAGGUGAUAGCCGCCCACCAUCAUUGAAACCCAUAAGAAUUACCCACCAUUAGUUCUUGUCUUCCAUAUGAACCACUGGCUAAUAACGUUCAAUCAUGGGGUCAUUGUCAAUGUGUAAUAAAUACACCAAAAAUGCAUCCACAAAACUCCAAAUAAUUCAUCCUUUUAUUCUCCUCAACUUUGUCUUCUUCUAUAUCCAACCAUGAACUUCAUUAUUCAAGACAAUGAACCAGAAAACACCAUUCGACCAUCUCUUUUGUUGCAGUCAAUUGAAGCGGUCUCAGAGGCAUAAAGGAUUUGCCCUCUACACCAAUAGCUGCAUGAAAUAAUUGUUGGAAUUUAUAUAGAGGUGAAUGAAAAUUAGGACACAUUUUUUUUCUCUUGGAAGAUGUGUUGUUUCUUAAUAGACACAACUUGUUUUAAAUGUUGUCUCUAGCUUUUUUAAAGACAUGAUCUCUUUCAAAAGAUGUGUUUGGUGUCUUAAGACAACCCUUUAAUGGAUAUGUCUAGUGUUUUAAAGGCACAUCCCUUCUAACAGAUAACAGUUAUCAACAAAAUCUAUAAAUAAGAGUUCCCUUUAUCUUUUCUGAUUCACUCUCUCUUUCAUUCAUUCUUUCCACUGUUUCUCCUUUUUAGUCUCUUAAACUUUCAUUUUUAGCUUCGGGUUUAAUCUUUUUUUUUUCUUACUAAGUUUUUUGGUAUUCAAGAGAGUACAAAUCAUCAAAUGAUUUAUUGUUUCUUAUGAUUUGGAGUGCUUCUAUCAUAAGAAAGUGAUCAUUAUAUCGUGGGAGACAAUUACUUGUACUGUAAGCACUUGAGUAGGGUGAAAUUUGUCUUAAGGACAUAAAGCCAAAUUUUAACCUCAAUCAACUCCAAAAAUCCAUCUAGUCAAUAGUUGGGAAAACAAUAAUUUGUAUAAAUGAAUUAUCUAAACCCUCAUUUGUCAACUUGUUUAGAAGUGAUUAUAGGAAACGUUUUAAUUUUUUUAGCACUUAAAAACAACUCUUUUGAUGAAAAAUUUCAAGUGCUAUAAAUAUUAGAAAUGAUUCUUAUAUAUGAAGAUGCACACUUUUGAUAACCAUAUAUCAUUAAGUAAAAUUUAGAGUUCGUUUGAAAGUGAUUUUGAAAAUACUAAUUUUUUUUAAUUAUCAAAAUUAGAUAUUUGACGAAUUUUUACUAUCUUUUAUCUUUCAACAAUUGAAAAUGUAUAAAUUUAAAUUAUUUUUUUCUUUUUUUUCUUUGCACUUUAUUAUUAUUACAUAAAUUUAAAAAAAAAAAAUCAUAAGUGUCACUACUUUAAUCUUAAUGCACAAAAUUACAAAAAAAAAAAAAGAAAUCCUAAGUAUUACUUUGGUCUUAAUACACAAAAGUACAAAAACAAAAUCCUACACCAUACAAUCCUCCUAACAAAAUACUUAUUCAUACAAGACAUAUUUUGACCUCUUUGUAACCUUCAAUUACAUCAAGAAUCUAAUGAUUCAAAAAAAUUCUAUUCUUAUGUCAAGUCAAAUGACUCUUUUUCGACAAUUGUCUUUUGGACCUGGCCCAAAAAUUAAGAUUUUACCAAUAAAAGUUGCAUAAUUGAUAAGGAGGAAACAAAAUAUGAAGAUACCAAUAUACCAUUCAAAACGAUUUUUUAUCAUAAUAAUUGAGAAACUUAUUGAUCUUAAAAUUUUUUUAAUAAUUAUUCUGAAAAUUUAUUAUUUUUAGAAAACUAAUUUUUUUAAAAAUAUAUUAUAAAAAUAUAUCAUUUAAAAAAAAUAAAUUUGACAUAUUUUUAGUUAUUUUUUAUAUACACAAUUUUAAAAAUAUAUAUUUUCCAAGAUGUUUGAUUUUUAAAUAAUAAUAAUUUAUUUUUAUUUUUAUGGAAAAUUGUGUAUUUUUUUACAAAUUACUAAAUUAUAUUAAAUUUUAUUGAGGUUUGUAAAAUGAAUAAAAUUUAAAUUAAUAUUUUUCUAUUUUUUUAUAGUCAAUAAAUGUUAUUUUUAAAAAAAUAAAAAAUUAAUAUUCUUCUUCUCAAUUUUCACACUUCUUCUAGGUCUUGGACUUAAAUAGUAAACUUAUAUGGAUUAAAACUUAAUUUUUGAAUUCAAUUAGGCACCAAAUGACCUUUCAACGACAGUUUUUCUGUACUUUUUUAAUCAAUCCAACGACAUACAAUUUGUUCUCUUUGUCGCUCAAUGGGAUCACAUCUCCCAAUGCUCUUUUUUUUUAAUUCUUUUUUUCAAAGAAAUGGAUAGGACAUUUUUUUUUUGCCGAGUUUUGGCCCAUUGUAUUACAAAUAAAAUUGAUUUGGCAUAAAUAUAAAUUCUGAAUUGAAUUUAAAAUGACUGUGAGUAUUUAAAAAUUCGAUCGGGUUUGGGACUGAUUUUGAUAUUACCUCACCUUCAUUAUAUGUAUAAUUAUAUACAUAAUAAUUUAAUUUAUUUUUUUAUUCCUUUUUUUUAAUACAUAUAAAAUAAACAUUAUUUUUCUUUUUUAUAAAAAUAAAGAUUAAGUAAGGUAAAGGAAAAAAGAAAUGAUAUAUGAAUAAAUAAUAUAAGAUAAUUUUUUCUCAAAUGAUAUAUAUUUUGAUUGGAUAUAGUUUUAAUACCAUGGUAAGAAAAUUGUACAACCAUACAAUCCUUACUUACCUUCCUUAUGUUUGGUUUAAAAAAAUAUUAGAAAAAAAAAAGAAUGAAAAUAAUUUUCUUUUAUUUGAUUUAAUAUUAAAAAAAUUAAAUAUAAUUAAUAUAUAUAUUUAAAAAAUUAUUUAAUCUUCAUAUAAAAUAGUUAAAAUAAUUUAAAUGAGUUUAAAAUCACGUAUAAAAAUAAUUAAAUAUCUUUAAAUUUAUUUAAUUUAAUUUAUUUUUUUUCCUUUUUUCUUUCAACCCACUUUUACUUCCUCCCAUUUUUCCUUCAAUUUUCCAAAAAGCAAACAUGCCCUUAAAAGGAGAGUCGUGUUUAACUCCAACUCAAAUAGGGUAUUAACACAUUAAAAACAAUUGAGUAAGUCAAAUACUAGCAAAUGUGUUGUUUAAUUUUAUUUUAAACAAAAAAUAUUAUUAAAAAACAAUUUUUUUCAAACAUGAAUACAAAAAUAAGCACUUUUGACUACUUAUUUAAUUUUCACACAUCGAAUCCAUGAAUUCAAUUUUUAUAUUGAGAUCAUUUUUAAAAAUGAAUUCAUUUUGUUUAUGCUAAAAUCAUUUUUUCCAAAGAUAAGUUUCAUAUUAAAUCAUAAAAUGCAUCGUUUAUAACUAUUUUCAAGGAAAUAGGUUUUUUUUUUUUUUUUUUUUUUUUGAAGAAAAAUAUAAAUAAAAAUUAUUGUACCAUGCAAAAAAACCUGUGUUGUUUUCUUGUGAUGGCCCACUAUUGUGACCUUAUAUAGUUGCCUGGAUCAUGUGCGUAUGGCUCUCUAGGCUCAAUGACACGUUUUCUGAGAAUGAGGAAGUUGUUGUGUCGUCUUCAAAUUUUGCACUUUUUUUCUUUCCUUCUGCUCUUACAUUAUUGCAAUACCAACAACAUUUUCGUGGGACCAAUGAAAACAACAUCCACUUCCCCUCCAUGUAUUUAAGACAAAAAAAAAAAAAAAAAUAGUGAUAAGAGCCGUAUGCAACCUGGCACGCCACCGUUUCGAGCAGGCGUGCUAGAAUUUGAAAAAGAUUAAGAGUAUGUUUGACGUUAAUUUUAUUAAAAUAAUACUUUUAUUAUAACACGUUGUAUAAUAAAAGAAACAGAUUUUGGAAGAAACAUCGAUGGAUGAUUCUCUAAUCUUUUAAAAAUUUAUAAAGCAUCUCAUUUUUAUACAAAAUCGCUUUCAACGCUUCUCAAAAUCACUCAAAUGAACGUUAAGAUAUAAAAAAAUGAAACUUGGACGUAAAAUAAUAAAGGAAUAAAAAAUUGAGACUUUGAUAUAAAACAUUGAUAUAAAGUAAAAAGUUUUUGAGUACGUAACGAUGUGUAAGAUUUAAUUUAUUUUAAUGACUAAGAUAUGAUUUGAGAAACUAACGAUAAAUCACAUACUUUAUACUUUGAUCAUAUUUUGAAUCAGAUUGAAAGAAGACAUGUCAUGUGAUGUUGAAAGAAGACAUGUUUUUUUCCCGUGAUGAUGUUUGAAAGAAUCCAAAGAAUUAAAAACGUCUAUCCACAAGUAAUAAACAUGCUAUAGAAAAUAUUAGGUUAAAAAAAACAAUUCAAACACGCAAUAAUAUGAUAUAGGAAAUAUUGAGUCAGUGUGGAAAAGGAUAACCUCCAAGAUAAUUAUAAUUAAAAAUAAUAAUUCAAAAAUCACAAAAAUGGUGCAAUUAAAAUUUAUUUAAAGCCAUAGGGGUGAUCCAGUAAUAAAACAUAAUAUAAUAUCUUCUUAUGUACUACAGAGGAGUACAAUCGAAAUAUUGAGUCAAUGUGGAAAAGGAUAAGUUCCAAGAUAAUUAUAAUUACAAAUAAUAUUUCAAAAAUCACAAAAAUGGUGCAAGUAAAAUUUAUUUAAAGCCUUAGGGGUGAUCCAGUAAUAAAACAUAAUAUAAUAUCUUCUUAUGUACUACAGAGGAGUAGUAUAAUCGAAAUAUUGAGUCAAUGUGGAAAAGGAUAAGUUCCAAGAUAAUUAUAAUUAAAAAUAAUAUUUCAAAAAUCACAAAAAUAGUGUGAGUGAAAUUUAUUUAAAGCCUUAGGAUGAUCUAGUAAUAAAACAUAAUAUAAUAUCUUCUUAUGUACUACAGAGGAGUACAAUCGAUUUAUCAAAUAACAUGCACUUAGGAUGAUCCCUCGAUAAAAUUUUGGGACCUUCAUAUGAAACAUAAUAGAUGAGCAAUAACAAUGAUUUUUCCUUAUGGCAACUCCAUUCCAUUGCGAUGUAUAAACUCAUAUAAAUUGAUAGACAAUUCCAUUUUCAAUACUAGAAGAAGAACAAGAAGGAUCAUUAUAUUUCAGGAUAUUACCAAAUUGAAGAAUACUAAUUGAAAUGCCUAAUGACAUUUAUUUCUUGAUAAAAAAAAGUUUAAAUAUAAAAAGCUUUUAAGACAUUUAUUUAAUCAAAAAUUUCCAAGUGACUCAGAGAACAAAAAAAAAAAAAAAAACUAAAUGUAGAUCAAUGUGUUGAAGAUGAGCAUAAACAUUAUUGAGAGAUUAUAACUUCUCAUAAACAAGUAUACCAUGUUUGACCUUAACAUAUCCAAAAUCGUGGCUAGAAAGAAAUUUAGUAACCUUCAUACACUUGAUUAAUCUUGAUUUUUUUUUUUUUUUGAGAGUAUGUGUUGUGUUUUGCAAUUUCUAAAAACAUGAAGCUACUAAUAUAAGGUAUCAUAGUGUUCCACAACUAUGUUAUUACCAUUUAUCAAAACUUUUAGAUUCUCGAGGAGAAAGAUUUUAUAGGAAAUGUUUUAGUUUUCCUUUUGUCCCAAUAUACACCGUUACGACUUUAGCACAUAAUAAAUUAUUAGGUCCCUUUAACUUUACUGAAAUAAUCAAAAUAUCAAUACUAAUUCCAAAUUUAUGAUCGUUACUAGAUGUCUUCCUUGCCUUUAAAAUAAGGACUAUUUCACUUAAAAUUGAAACAAAUGGAUGUUAGGAAGCCUUUUAGUACUAAUAUAAACUCGCACUAUAUUUGCAUCACAAAAUAAAACCAAUCACAUAAGUAUUAAUAUCGGAGAUCACUAUAGUAAAAUCAUUGUUAGUACAAUAUUAUAACAAAAUCACUAUUUGUACUAAAAAAAUAUUUUUUCAAAGCAAAUUUAUCUUCUAAAGAACAAUUUCUAAACAGGGUUUGAACCUUUUUCAAGAAGAAAUUAGUUAAAGGGUUCUAAUGAACAGGACUUGGGAAAGAUAAGUAUCAUAUAUAGAGAUGUUUGUGCUUAAGAAUAAUAAAAUCCCCAUAUUUGGAAAACAACCUUUACUUCGAUAUUUUAUUUUAUAUAUAUAUAUAUUUUCUUUUGAAAGUGUUUGGAUGUGAAAUGGAAAUAAAAAAAAUUAAGGAGGGGUAUUUUUAUCUGAGAGAAGUUAUAUAUAGUAGUCACAAAAGGCAGGUCAUUCUUUAUAUAAAUAUUGCCAGCUUCAACCGUAUGACAUUAGUAGUACAUAAUUUUCCAUAAUGGGUGGACCUGUGAUGCAAAAGUAGCCAGACAAUCAAAGAGAACCCAGAAACCAAAGUAGAAAAUAAUGCCAGGAAAAAGAAGCAAAGGCUGGUGUGUGACAGAGAUUAGUGGGACCUUCAUCAUUCGAUUAGCUGCCUUUGAGCUCCUCCAUAUCCAUGUACAUGUCACUCAGUUUCCUCCACACCCAAGCUCACCUAUUCUUCAAUAUUGGCUUCCUUGGAUAGCUCAUUGGGUAAAUCCCUUUUCACCUCUCUAGGUGUUUGAUUUUUUUUUUCCUUUUUUGUUAAUGAUUGUUCACCCAUUUGUGGACCCUGAAUGGCUUCAUGCAUCUUCUUCUUCUUCUUCUUCUUUGAUGACUGGUUCAAUUUGUUUGUUGCUACUUUGUGGGUAUUUGUUUAGUGGGUCUUUGAGCAUUUAGUGAGUGUUAAUGUACAAUGGACAAGAACUACAGAACACCAUUCAUGGGCAUUCUCUGGGUUGCUUUCUUUUUGGCAUUUUGUUUUCUCUCAUGUCUUUGUAUAUAUGUUUGUAUAUUCCAUUUUGCUACCUGUUUUCUUCCAAUUUUUUUUAGACACUUUUUUGGAAGUGUUAUGUUUGUGAUUUGUUUACAUUUGGAAGUAUAGUUUGAUUAUUUAUUUUUUAUUGUUAACUCUUUUUUUUUUUAAUUUUAAAAGGAGUAUAAAAGAAUAAAUGCAUGUGAUGAGAUAGCAUAGCGUGUGGACAAAGCAGUACCAUAAAAUUUGAAUUCUAUGGAGAAGCAGCCAUGAGAUGAAACUGGACCCACAAGUCCAAAGUGAAAAAAAAUGACCUCCAGUGGCCUCAUUCAUGACUGCUGAGGUAGAACUGAAGUGGACUUAGUGCUUCUGAACUCUUACAUAUACUUAUAUGCUGCUCAGUUUCCUCCACAAGUAAGCUGAGAUAUCCUCCAUCAAUGGCUUUCUUGAAGAACUCAUUCAGUAUCUUCUAUUUUCCUUCUUUUAAUGUCUUUGAAAUCCUCUCUUUGUAUUGUCUCUUAGCUUGCCUGUGCCCCUGAAUCUUAUUUAUUUGAUGACUAGUUCAAACUCUUUCUCUCUUUGUUGUUUGAAAUACUUGGUGUGUGUUGAAAGUACAAUGGACAAAAACUAUGGAGGACGUUUAAUAGACUUCCAUUUUGUUUUUUUGUUCUUCCUUUUUGCCUUUCGAUUCACCAGGUUGUACUUUGUUUUCUCUCAUGUGUGUGUAUGAACUUAUCUGUGAAUCCCAUCAGCUCUUCUGGUCAUCUGUUCUGGUCCUGCUUGUUUUCUUGUGUAUGUUUUUCUGAUGUUAUGAUUCUGAUUUGUUUUUGUCUAAUGGAUGUACAGGCGGGCUCUCUUGGAUGUGUGGAGAAGAACUUGAUAUGGGCUCCUUUUGCAUUCAAAGAAGUAUAUUAGAUGUCCUGAAUCUGCUGUUUCUCUCUGUUUUCUGUGUGCUUUUGGUUAUAGGCUCUAUUAGAAAACAUGAGAUCAGUCGGUGCAGCAGGAGGGACUGGGUCUCUAGGGGUGUUUCAAUCUGUUGUGCUCUUAUUAGCAUUGGAUAUCUCAGUGCUGGUUUUUGGGAUCUAUACGCGAAAAAUGAAGGGCCUAGGCUUUCGAGUUGGCCAGUUUACUUUGUUAGAGGGCUAAUUUGGAUCUCUUUGACAGUGUCAUUGCUUGUUCAAAGAUCCAAGUGGACAAGAAUUCUUAGUUCUAUCUGGUGGAUGUCCUUCUUCUUAUUGGUUUCAGCUCUAAAUAUCGAAAUUAUAGUAGAGACACAUAGUAUUCAAAUCUUUGUCAUGGUGCCAUGGCUCGUGAACUUCUUACUUCUCUUUUGUGCUUUUAGGAACAUCUGUCCCUCUCUUUCUCUAGAGGCCUCAGAUAAGAGUGUAUCUGAACCUCUAUUAGCCAAAAACCCUGUGAAAAGCUCAAUAGAUUUCAGCAAGAGUAGCUUCAUCAGCAAGUUGACCUUUUCUUGGAUUAAUCCAUUACUCCGCUUGGGUUACUCAAAACCAUUAGUUCUAGAAGAUAUUCCUUCUCUAACACCGGAGGACGAGGCUGAAUUGGCCUACAAAAACUUUGCUCAUGCAUGGGAACUUCUUCAAAGAGAGAAAAACUCAACCAACACUAGUAAUUUGGUUCUUAGAGCCCUGGCCAAAGUUUACUGGAAAGAAACGGUUUUUGUAGCGAUUUGUGCGCUCCUUAGGACGAUUUCUGUAGUAGUUUCUCCUUUGUUACUCUAUGCUUUUGUGAAUUAUUCAAAUCGCAAGGAGGAAAAUUUGUCUGAAGGCCUUUUCUUAGUGGGGUGUUUGGUUAUUGCCAAGGUGGUGGAAUCUGUGUCUCAAAGGCAUUGGUUCCUUGAUUCAAGAAGGUCUGGGAUGAGGAUGAGAUCAGCUUUAAUGGUGGCUGUAUACCAGAAGCAGCUCAAGCUUUCAAGUUUGGGAAGGAGAAGGCACUCAGCUGGGGAGAUUGUGAACUAUAUAGUGGUCGAUGCUUAUCGAAUGGCGGAAUUUCUUUGGUGGUUCCACUCAAUGUGGAGUUACAUGUUGCAACUUUUUCUAUCCAUUGGAGUCCUUUUUGUGGUUGUGGGACUUGGAGCUCUUUCAGGCUUAGUCCCUCUUUUCAUAUGUGGAUUUCUUAAUGUGCCAUUUGCAAAGAUACUGAAAACCUGCCAAACCGAACUCAUGAUGGCUCAAGAUCGGCGACUCAGAUCUACUUCAGAGAUCCUUAACAGUAUGAAAGUCAUCAAGUUACAGUCAUGGGAAGAUAAAUUCAAGAACUUGAUUGAAUCCCUCCGAGAAGUUGAAUUCAAAUGGUUGGCUGAAGCACAGUACAAGAAGUGUUAUAAUACUGUACUGUAUUGGUUAUCUCCAACCAUCAUCUCUUCGGUUAUCUUUGUGGGAUGUGCUCUUUUAGGUGCCCCAUUAAAUGCCAGCACCAUAUUCACCAUUCUUGCAGCACUGAGGUGCAUGGGAGAGCCUGUCAGAAUGAUACCUGAGGCUUUAUCUGCUUUGAUCCAAGUCAAGGUCUCCUUUGAUCGGCUCAAUGCCUUUUUGCUGGAUGAUGAGCUCAAAAGUGAGGAAAUAAGGCACGUUACAUGGCCAAAUUCAGGUCACAGUGUCAAAAUAAAUGCAGGUAAGUUCAGUUGGGAACCAGAGUCAGCCAUUCUAACCCUCAGAGAAGUAAAUUUGACAGUACAACGGGGGCAUAAAAUAGCGAUUUGCGGACCAGUUGGGGCAGGGAAAUCAUCACUCUUGCAUGCUAUACUUGGAGAGAUACCAAAAAUUUCAGGAACUGUGAGUUGCAAAACCAUUUAGUAUCAUAGAUCAUUUACAAAUUUGAUUUGCUAAUUUUUUUUUCCCUUCUGCUGGUUGCAAACAGGUUGAUGUAUUUGGUUCCAUUGCCUAUGUUUCUCAAACUUCUUGGAUCCAAAGUGGGACGAUUCGUGACAACAUUCUCUACGGAAAACCAAUGGAUACAACCAAAUAUGAGAAAGCCAUAAAAGCAUGUGCCUUAGAUAAGGAUAUAAACAGUUUUGACCAUGGUGAUGAAACAGAAAUCGGUCACAGAGGGCUUAAUAUGAGUGGAGGACAGAAGCAGAGGAUGCAACUUGCUCGAGCUGUCUAUAAUGAUGCCGAUAUCUACCUCCUGGAUGACCCUUUUAGUGCAGUAGAUGCACAUACAGCUGCAAUUCUUUUCAAUGUAAGAUUGAAUAUGUUAGCCUGCAGAUAAAUUUGCAUAUGGAAACUUCAACUGAAUUUCAAUUACACAACUGCAGGAAUGCGUCAUGGCUGCUCUUGCUCAUAAAACCGUCAUUCUAGUGACUCAUCAAGUGGAGUUUCUCUCUGAAGUUGAUAAAAUUCUGGUAAUAAGGCUUACUCUGAAAGCAAUAAAUAUUUCCUUGUAUAUAUGAUUAUGAGAACAAAAAUUAUCUGCCUUCUGCAUUUCUAGGUUAUGGAAGCUGGACAGAUAACUCAAUCAGGAAGCUAUGAGGAGCUCUUGACAUCAGGGACAGCAUUUGAGCAGCUUGUAAAUGCACAUAAGAAUGCAGUAACAGUAUUGGAAUUUUCAAAUGAUGAACAAGUAGAACCUCAAAAAUUGGAUCAGAAUCUGCUAGAGAAGUCCCAUGGAUCUCUCUUCACCAAAGAAAACAGUGAAGGGGAGAUUUCUAUGAAGGGUCUGCCUGGGGUUCAGCUCACUGAAGAAGAAGAGACAGAGAUUGGUGAUGUUGGGUGGAAGCCAUUCUUGGAUUAUCUCCUUGUCUCAAAUGGAAUGCUCCUGAUGUCUUUAGGCAUAAUAACUCAGUCUGGUUUUAUUGCCCUUCAGGCAGCUUCUACUUAUUGGCUAGCACUAGGCAUUCGGAUUCCUAACAUCAGCAACACCUUGCUAAUUGGAGUUUAUACUGCAAUUUCAACACUCAGUGCUGUAUUUGUGUAUUUCAGGUCUUUCUGUGCCGCCCGUCUAGGAUUAAAAGCUUCUAAAGCCUUUUUUGCAGGCUUUACCAAUUCCAUUUUCAAUGCUCCAAUGCUCUUCUUUGACUCUACCCCAGUUGGGCGUAUUUUGACCCGAGUAAGAUUAUCUUCUUUUCUUUCAGAAUAACCUCAGGAACCAUACUCUUUUAUGUGCCUGCUGAAGUUCAAUCUUGCAGGCUUCUUCAGAUUUCAGUGUUGUGGAUUUCGAUAUACCUUUCUCCAUUAUCUUUGUGGUAGCAGCUGGUCUCGAACUUAUAACAACCAUUGGAAUUAUGGCCUCAGUCACAUGGCAAGUUCUCUUUGUAGCCAUUUUUGCUAUGGUUACUGCAAACUAUGUUCAGGUAGAUACUAUUUUUUAGCAUACGUGCUUUGAUCUCUCUAUUCUUCUUUGCUAAUAGACACACAAAAAUCUGAUUAUUAUCUCGUUUUCCUUUUGACUAAAAGGGGUAUUAUUUAGCCUCUGCAAGAGAGCUAAUAAGGAUCAAUGGAACGACAAAAGCUCCUGUUAUGAAUUAUGCAGCUGAGACAUCACUUGGAGUGGUCACUAUAAGGGCCUUUAAAAUGGUGGACAGGUUCUUCCAAAACUACCUAGAGCUCAUAGACACGGAUGCAAAGCUGUUCUUCUAUUCUAAUGCAGCCAUUGAAUGGCUAGUUUUAAGAAUAGAAAUGCUCCAGAAUCUGACUUUAGUCACUGCUGCUCUUCUCCUUGUUCUACUUCCCAAGGGUGUUGUAGUUCCAGGUAUCUAUAGUCGGUUACAAUGGUCUUUUUAUCCUUCAGAGUUCUUCCGUUUGUUAAAAUGAUUUCGUUUCUUUUUUACACAGGGCUUGUGGGGCUCUCUCUUUCUUAUGCUCUGGCACUGACCGGCUCACAAGUGUUCCUGUCUCGAUGGUAUUGUAACUUAUCAAAUUAUAUUGUUUCGGUUGAAAGGAUCAAACAGUUCAUGCGCAUACCACCUGAGCCCCCUGCGAUUGUGGAGGGAAAAAGGCCACCAUCUUCAUGGCCUUCCAAGGGUAGGAUAGAGUUGCAAAAUCUGAAGGUAAGAUAGUUCUUCUAGUCCAUGUUUUAAAUGAAUAAAUGAAUAUGUUCCUUAGCAUUGAGUUUGUGUUUUAGACUUAAAUCCGAUGAUCCGUUUGAUGUGUUUCAGAUAAAAUACCGCCCCAAUGCUCCUCUAGUUCUCAAGGGAAUCACUUGCACAUUCAAGGAGGGGACUAGAGUAGGAGUUGUUGGAAGGACUGGAAGUGGAAAAACUACAUUGAUAAGCGCUUUGUUCCGACUAGUGGAGCCUGAAAGUGGGAAAAUCCUCAUAGAUGGACUUGACAUUUGUUCUAUAGGUCUGAAGGAUUUGAGGAUGAAGCUUAGCAUCAUCCCUCAAGAGGCCACUCUUUUCAAGGGUAGCAUCCGAACUAACUUGGACCCUCUAGGCCUUUACUCUGACAAUGAAAUAUGGGAGGUGAGCCUACUCAUUUUAACUUUCUAGUUCAAAGUUCAAACAAUUUUACAUACCAAUAUUCAGAAAAGAAGAGGACUUUUAGCAGUAAAUCAAUCACAUUAUUCACAUAUCUGAUUGGUUUGGUUCUUCAUUUUGAAGGCUCUAGAAAAGUGUCAGCUCAAGGCAACAAUCAGCAGUCUUCCAAACUUGCUAGACUCAUCUGGUGAGUUCACUUCAGGAAAUUAAAAAUUGAAGAUUCCUUCAAAAUUAGCAUACCCCAUGUCAUUUCCCUCUUAUAUUUUUCAAUGUCACAUAGAGAAGUUUCCAUCUCACUCUGGUUCCUUCAACAGUAAGUGAUGAAGGCGAGAAUUGGAGCGCCGGGCAACGCCAGCUCUUCUGUCUUGGAAGAGUCCUACUUAAGAGAAACAGAAUCCUUGUUCUAGAUGAAGCCACUGCAUCCAUAGACGCUGCCACAGAUGCAAUUCUACAGAGAAUUAUCAGGCAGGAAUUCUUGAACUGUACGGUGAUAACAGUAGCUCACAGAGUUCCCACAGUUAUAGAUAGUGACAUGGUCAUGGUCCUCUCUUAUGGUAUGCAAUUCCAAUCCAAGCCUAAGCCAGUUUUGGAGUAUUGGGUUUUUGGUAUUAACCCCAACUUACAUAAAAUAUCGGUUGGUUUGAUUUUGUAGGGAAGCUUGUGGAGUAUGAUGAGCCCUCAAAUCUGAUGGAAACCAACUCCUUUUUUUCAAAACUUGUAGCUGAAUACUGGUCCAGCCGCAGGAGGAACUCCUCCCAGAAUUUCAACUACUACAAAUAGUGAAGGUGCUCGAUUUGGAGGUAUGGCUGCUAAUUAUUGGUCUUAGAAUAAAUGAGUGAAGAAGGCCAUCUUUUUCAUUGCUUUGAAGAGAAAUCAGUGUAUUUGUGUAAUAAUGAAAAAUGUAGGGAAUGAGCAGGCAACAGCUGAGCUCCCUGGUGUUGAAUUGAUCAACAUAUUGAAUAGUUAUUAAGGCACAUGGGGUUUGUGGAUGACCAAACUCCAUGGGUUUUCAAGUUGGAAGUUGACUUUGAUAUAUCUAUCAUGAUUGAUAUAAAUAUUAUUCGCCUAUGUUCAUAAAUUCUCAUAACUUUAAAAUAUGUCUAUGCAUAUUAAAUACGUUGUUUCUCCUACGUGUCACGUACUUAUGGAUGUAGAAUACCGUAUAUGCUCAUUAUGGAAUAAUUCAAGCUUUAAACUUCUAAGUCAAUUGAUAAUAAUAAUAUGGUAUUAUAGGGAUUUUGACUUGUAGAGACUUCUCAUUCUCUCUGUCUCUGUCUCUUAAUGUAUGUAAACGAAAAGACAUUUAAAUAUUUAUUGUGUAAAAGAAAUACAUGUGAAUGGCUAUUGUCCUCUUUGUAACUGUGAGCUUGUCCUUGCUCUCAAAUCUGCCCCUGCAAAAAACUAGUGAAGUGCCUUAAAGCUCUCUCCAGGAAAAGUAGCUGGAUGUUAUCUCUCCCUUGUCCACCAGUAUAAGUAGGUUGAUGUUAGGUCUCUCUCAUGUCCACCAGGAUAAGUCUCCCUCUCUCUCUCUCUCUCUCUCUCUCCACCAGUAUAAGUAGCUUGAUGUUAUGUCUCUCUCAUGUCCACCAGGAUAAGUCUCCCUCUCUCUCUCUCUCUUUUAUCUUUGGCACUACAAAAAGCCCAAAACCACCUAUACCACACAAUCUUCUUAGCCAAAUGCUUGUCUCUCAGUUUCAGCUAUAUCAAAGAAAGCAAAAGAAAUCAAUCAAGUAACAUGCAUUUGGAUAUAGUGGGCAUGUUUGGAAUUAUUUGAAUUUAAAGUGAAAUAAAAGAGUGUUUAUAUUUGCAUCCAUUAAAUAUUUCUACGCAUCUACUUGAAUUAAGAUUUUUUUAAGACAAAAAUGACCUUUAUGAAAAUGAUCCUAAAAACCUCUUAAAAGUUAGUACUAUUUAGAACUAUACUUUUAGACAUUUUUAAAGACGUUCAAAGCUAUACGUAAGUAUAUGAUCCUGAAAAGUGUUUUUCAAAACAAAAAUAAAAAUAAAAGAAGCCAAUCUUUCCAAAAGAUAUGACCAAAGUCUAAGAGAAAAUCAAGGAAUCUUUUUGACUAAAUCAGAUAAUGAAUGGACAUCAAUUAAGCCAAAAGAAUUUUGGUGGAUACGAUGAAAGGAGGUUGAAUGAACUUGAUAGAUCGAUGAAAUGAUUCAACAAAAAUAAUCAUGAUGUUUUCAAAAAAUAUGUCACACCUCAAGACAAUUUUGAAGUAAUGAAUAUGUUAUUAAAAAUUCUAUAUUGAUGUCCAAAGACAUCUCAUUUUCUCCCUGCAUAUAUUUCAAAAAUACCAUGCAUUAUAAAUCAAUGAAGAAAUUAGGAGAGUUUAUUGUUAGACUUGCAUUUAAACAAAGAAUGUGUUCAACGACAAUGGGACAUGUGGGAAAUGUUGGAGUGAACCAGAAAAGUUUGGGUAGAAUCGGAUCCAAGUAUUGGCUAGAUAAGCGUCCUUUAAUAAGAUUAGUAGUUAUGAAUCCUAUAGACUAUGGUCAUGGGGUAGUGAGAGGAGAGCCCCAAUUGGUAGAAAAACCCACAACCCCUUAGGAUUAUCUUGCAUUUAGAAGAAUGUCUCUUAUGCCUAAAAAAAAAUUAUUUAAUUUCUUCAAGUAGCAUUAUAUUUUCUAAAAAUUAUUUAAGAAAAUAAAAUUAUUGAAUUAUAAAGUUUGAAUCAGUUUUAUUGCACUUCGUUCGAGAGUUUCACCAUUGUAACAUUUUUCGCUUCUUUUGAUUAGUAAAUUUUUGAGUGUUAGUGCAUUCCUCCGUAAACAUAAAGAUCACAUUGAUAAUUGAAUCACGAUACAAAUCUUGUCUUUUUUUUUUUUCACUCAUUUGUGCUUGGUUUGAUUAACAAUAACUCUUGAUAAUGAAAUUUUUUAAAUUUACAAAGAUUUAUAGAUACAACUCUUGUUCAUUUCAACUUGAUAUACUUAUAUUUUGAAAAAACAAAGAAAUUUAUAAUAAGGAAAAACUAUUUUUAUUUUAUUUUAUUUGGAGAUCAUAAACAAAAUUUGUUCCUAAAAAUAAUUAAAAAUUAUUUUUAAUAAUUGUUUUUAAAAUCUUUUUUUUUCUUUUAUAAUUCUCACACCCUUAUACUUUGGUGCUACAAAUAGUUUUAUUCAAUUAAAAUAAAAAAAUAAAAAAUAAUUUUUUUAAUAAAAAAAUAAAUAAAUAUAGUUCUCAAACUAAAACUAUUGGCAAUGGAAAAAUAACCACUUAUACUUCUUUCUACCUUUUCUACUAAUUAGAAAAAAAAAAAAAAGCAUAUUCUAACAUAUCAAUAAUAUUUAAAAUUUUACUUAUAGGUUGUAUUUAGUUAAUAAGAUGAGAUAUGAUAGAAUAUCAUAUUUUAUUAAAUAAGAAAUGUAUAUUAUAAGAUAUCGUUUUCAAUAAGAUAUGAUAUCCUUGAAUAUUAUAUCAAAUGCACAUGAUAUCUUAAGAUAGUACAUGCAAUAAGAUAUAUUACAUGGUUAUGCUUAGUUUGUAAAAUGAGAAUAUAUAUAUAUAUAUAUAUUAUUUUUCAAUGUUUGAUAUUUGUUUAAAAUAAAAAUUAUAUUUCAUUCUAAUAUUUUUUAUUAAAAAAUGAAAUUUCUUACAUUUAACAACAUUUAUAAUUAAAAUAUUUAAAAUUUAUAAAUAAAUUUUUCAUAUUAUAUUAUUCAAUAUAUAAAAAUAAUUUAUAUAUAUAUAUAUAUAUAUAUAUGUAAAAUAAUGCAUGUAUUAUUAUUUUUUUAUAAUUUAUUUUAUAAAUCUUUUUUAAUAAAAAAAUUUAAAAUUUUAAUCAAAAUUUUUAAUUUUGUAAAAUAAGUAAUAUAAAAAAAUUUUAAAAAUUAUUACAAAAAAUUAUAAUAUAUAUUAUAUUUUAACUGAUAAAUAUAGCCAAUAAUAUAUUCUACCAAUCAUGCUAUAAAACAAAAACAAAAAAACAUGAAUCACAUGAAUAAUAUUUGUCCUCAAGUGUUCUCUGGUGUCCUUGCCUUGUCAGCCUUUAUUUUCUGGAGGAAAGAGGUUGCUAGAAAAGGAGAAUAGGUCACUGCCACCACUUUUAUAGAAGUUUUAAAUUUAGCUACUUAUUUUUCUCAUCAUAUCAACAAUGGCUUCUUGGGACAGCUCAUUGGGUAACAACCAUUUUCCCUCCUUUGUUUCAAUGGUCACCCACCCUUAAUGUGUAGGCUUGAUUAGUAUACCUGGACCUUGAAAAUUAGCCUUCUUUCAUUACAAGUUGAGACUUUUUGUUGGUGUUUGGUGGAAGUAUAUGUCCAGUGUGUGUUAAUGUACAAUGGACAAAAGUAAUGGAAUAUCAUUGAUGGACUUUUCCUUUUUGUUUGUAAAUUUUUCCAUUUGCCUUUAGAUUUAUGGGUUGCAUUUAUGUAAUAUGCUUUAUUGUUCUGAUUUUGUCUAUGGAUGUACAGGUGGAUUCUCCUGGAAUUCUGGGGAAGGGCUUGAUAUGGGUUUCUUUUGUGUUCAGACAACUAUAUUAGAUGUCUUGAAUCUGCUAUUUCUUUCUGUUUUCUGUGUGAUUUUGGUUAUGGGUUCUGUUAGAAAAAAUGUGAUUUUUGAGCACAGCAGGAGGGACUGGGUCUCUGGGGGUGUUUCAAUCUGCUGUGCUGUUGUUAGCAUUGGAUAUCUCAGUGCUGGUUUGUGGGAUUUGUUUGUGAAAAAUGAAGGGUCUGGGCAUUUGAGUUGGUGGGCUUACUUUGUUAGAGGGCUGGUUUGGAUCUCUCUUGCAGCUUCACUGCUUAUUCAAAGACCCAAGUGUAUCAGAAUUCUUAGUUCUCUCUGGUGGUUGGCCUUCUUCCUAUUGGGUUCAGCUCUAAAUAUCGAAAUUCUAGUGAAAACUCACAACAUUCAAGUCUUUGACAUGGUGCCAUGGCUUGUGAGCUUCUUGCUUCUCUUUUGUGCAUUCAGGAACAUUUGUCACCAUGAUUCUCCAGAUACCCCAGAUAGGAGUGUUUCCGAACCUCUACUAGGGAAAAAGCCUGAGAAAAGCUCAGUAGAAUUAGGCAAGAGUAGCUUCAUUAGUAAAUUGACAUUUUCUUGGAUUAAUCCUUUACUUUGCUUGGGUUACUCGAAACCUUUAGUUCUAGAAGACAUUCCUUCUCUGGUAUCAGAGGAUGGAGCUGAAUUAGCCUACCAAAAAUUUGCUCAUGCAUGGGAACAGCUUCAAAAGGAGAAAACCCCGAAUAAUAGCUGUAACUUGGUUCUACAAGCAUUAGCCCGGGUCUACUGGAAAGAAACCCUUUCUGCAGGGAUUUUUGCUUUGUUUAAGACAAUUUCUGUAGUGGUUUCUCCUCUGUUGCUCUAUGCUUUUGUAAAAUACUCAAAUCAUAGUGGGGAAAAUUGGCAUGAAGGCGUGUUCUUAGUGGGGUGUCUAGUCCUUAACAAGCUGGUUGAAUCCUUGUCUCAAAGGCAUUGGUUCCUUAAUUCUAGGAGGUCUGGGAUGAGGAUGAGGUCAUCUUUAAUGGUGGCUGUAUACCAAAAGCAGCUCAAGCUUUCAAGUUUGGGAAGGGGAAGGCAUUCAACUGGGGAGAUUGUGAAUUAUAUUGCUAUCGAUGCUUAUCGAAUGGGCGAAUUCCCUUGGUGGUUCCACACAAUGUGGAGUUUCAUCUUGCAACUUUUUCUGUCCAUUGGAGUCCUUUUUGGGAUUGUGGGUCUUGGUGCUCUUACAGGUUUAGUCCCUCUUCUCAUUUGUGGACUUCUUAAUGUGCCAUUUGCUAAGAUAAUACAGAGGUGUCAAUUCCAAUUUAUGAUGGCCCAAGACCAGCGACUCAGGUCUACUUCAGAGAUCCUUAACAGUAUGAAAGUCAUCAAGUUACAGUCAUGGGAAGAGAAAUUCAAAAACUUGAUUGAAUCCCUGCGAGACAUCGAAUUCAAAUGGUUGGCUGAAGCACAUUAUAAGAAGUGUUAUUGCACUGUACUGUAUUGGUUGUCCCCAAGCAUCAUCCCUUCGGUUAUCUUCCUGGGGUGUGUGGUUUUCAGGAGUGCCCCACUAGAUGCCAGCACAAUAUUCACCGUUCUUGCAGCAUUGCGGUGCAUGUCAGAACCUGUGAGAACCAUACCUGAAGCUCUAUCUGCUUUGAUCCAAAUCAAGGUCUCUUUUGAUAGGCUCAAUGCAUUCCUGCUAGAUGAUGAGGUCAAAAGUGAAGAAAUCAGGAAAGUUGUAGUACCAAAUUCACAUUACAGUGUUAUAGUGAAUGGUUGUGGUUUCAGUUGGGACCCGAAAUCGACCAUCCUAACACUCAGAGAUGUAAAUAUGGAAGUAAAAUGGGGGCAGAAGGUUGCGGUUUGUGGGCCAGUUGGAGCAGGGAAAUCGUCACUCUUAUAUGCUAUACUUGGAGAGAUACCAAAAGUUUCAGGAACCGUGAGUUGCAAAGCCCUUUAGUAUUAUUGAUCAUCUACAAAUUUGUUUCACUAAAUUUUUUCCUUCUGUUGGUUGUCAACAGGUUGAUGUAUUUGGUUCAAUCGCCUAUGUUUCUCAAACUUCUUGGAUCCAAAGUGGGACAAUUCGCGACAACAUUCUUUAUGGAAGGCCAAUGGAUAAAACCAAGUAUGAGAAAGCCAUAAAAGCAUGUGCCUUAGAUAAGGAUAUAAAUAGUUUUGACCAUGGCGAUUUAACAGAAAUUGGUCAGAGAGGGCUUAAUAUGAGUGGAGGACAGAAACAGAGGAUUCAACUUGCUCGAGCUGUCUACAAUGAUGCCAAUAUCUACCUCCUGGAUGACCCUUUUAGUGCAGUAGAUGCACAUACAGCUGCAGUUCUUU